UCAUUGAAUCUUAAUUUAACUGUUCAUUUAGUCUUUUUAAAAUAAUUAAUUUAUUUAUUUGGCUGCAUUGGGUCUUAGUUGUGGCAUGCGGGAUCUUUCAUUGCGGUGUGGGCGUCUCUCUAGUUGUGGCUUGCAGGCACUAGAGUGUGUGAGCUCAGUAGUUGCAGCACGCGGGCUUAGUUGCCCCGUUGCAAGUGGGAUCUUAGUUCCCAGACCAGGGAUGGAACCUGCAUCCCCUGCAUUAGAAGGCGGAUUCUUAACCACUGGACCACCAGGGAUGUCCCUCAUUUAGUCUUUUUUUCACCUACUUUUUGCCACCUGGGAAAUGUUAAUGGUAUUUUAUGAUGUGUAGGUAUAAUCACACCAUAAUAGUAUAUGUCCUGUUAUGCAAUAGAGCCAUGAUAUUGUGUGAAUUGAAUUUGUAUAAGUUACAUCAUGUUUUGUCACUGAUUUAUAUUAUUAAUUUCAGGGGUACUAUUUCAUUUCAGAUUGAUCUUAAUUGGCAAGUACUUUUGACACUUUUUAAAUGUAUGGCUCAAGCACAUUGUCAUGUAAUUUUACAUAUAUCAGCUCAUUCAGUUCAAUUUGCAGUUGUGCUAGACAUGUAAUAGUGCCCACCAUGCCCCGAUCCCUCCAGGCAGCUCCAUUUUACUGACUACAUAUUACCUGCAUUUCCUCAGUCACAGCUAAUUGGAUGAGGCGGGGACAGAACACAUUGCCCACAUGCAGCCUCUCCGUAGCUGGCCAACACACUAUGGAGUGGCCUCUCAUGAAAUGGGAAUGUCCUCUUUCAUUUCAUUCCAGAUUGAGGAAUAAGCAUUUCAGAGGAUUUUGGUUUUCUCUCUUCUAGGAACUUGAACUGGGAAAUAUUUCAAGAAUAAGUCAGUGAGAAUGGAAGCUAAAUGAAUGCCUAGAGACAGGAGCCAUAAGGGAUCAGGAAAAAGUCUCUAAAGAGCCAGAUGGAUUUUGUGGACCACACAGUUUCUGUUGCAACUACUCAACUGUGCCAUUGUAGCCAGUAGAGACCACAGACAAUAGUGAAUGAAUAUGACUGUGAUCCAAUAAAGCUUUAUUUACUUAUUACUUAUUUUGUAUUUACUUACAAAAAAGAUUUAUUUAUUUAUGCAGGUCAUAUUGGACCCAUAGGCCCAAAGUUUGCCAAUCCCUGGUCUAGAUCAUGAGGUAGGGCCAUGAUAUUUCAUGGCAGGCUGAAAUGAUGAGAAAUCAAGAACAAUGUGGUAAAGAGACAAUGCCGAUGGUAGAGAGGAAGAAUUGAUAGUAGAUGACAGGAAACACAAAUGGACAGUGGAGGAGUCUUAGGGAGGUGGCCAGCUCAAAUUAAUGGUAGGUACUAGAGUGAAGAUCCACAAACUGUUACUGAACUCACAACUUCUGUUUUCUUUUCUCGGAGUUGAGCCAUUAUGCUAUUGAGGAAGGUUAGACUAGACCACCUGAAGGCUACCCAAAGAGAGACCUUGGAGGGUGAGAAGUCACCUUGGAUGUUCAAGCUUCAGAUGAGCUCAGAUGCAUGAGAGAUUCCAGUAUGCGGGCCUCUCACUGUUGUGGCCUCUCCCGUUGCGGAGCACAGGCUCCGGACACGCAGACUCAGCGGCCAUGGCUCACGGGCCCAGCCGCUCCGUGGCAUGUGGGAUCCUCCCGGAGCCGGGGCACGAACCCGUGUCCCCUGCAUCAGCAGGCGGACUCUCAACCACUGCGCCACCAGGGAAGCCCUGUUGUUGUUGUUUUUAAUUGAAGUAUAGUUUAUUUACAAUGUUGUGUUAGUAUCUGGUGUACAGCAGUGAUUCAGUUAUUCAUAUAUAUAUCACAGGAUGUUGAAUAUAGUUCCAUGUGCUAUAAAAUAGGACCUUGUUGUUCAACAUUUUCAAACAUACAGAGAAGUUGAAGAAUUACAGAGUGAACAACAUUCACAUACCUACCACCUAGAGUCUAUAAUUAACAAUUGCUAUAUUAGCUUUAUCAUAUUUCUAUGUAUCCAUCCCUUUAUUCAUCAAAUACUCGAUCUUAAAUUUUUAUACAUUUUAAAAUGUUGCAAACAUCAGUAAAUUGGUGUGGGGGACAUUCUUAGUUUGUUCACUAUCAUAAAGGGAAAGUAUUCAAUAUUUUAUCAUUAAAUAUAUCAUGUAUGACCUUCAUCCAGUUGAUGAAAUUUAAUUUGCUGAAUUUUUUUUGGAAGUCAUGAGUGAAAUUGUUAAAUUGUGUCAAAUGAUUCUUCUGCAUCAACUGAAAUAAUCAUAUUACUUUUCUCCUUAAUUCUGUUAACAUGGUGAAAUACAUUGAUGAAUUUAUGAAUAUUGAACCAACUUUGCAUUCUCGUCACCUGUAUUACAACUAGAUAUAUUAUAAACCCACAAUAUAGUGUUAAAAGUUUUGCUUUAUAUAAUCAUAAGUAUUUUAAAGAAAUGAAGACAUACUACACUCAUGUUGCUCAGACCAUAUUUCAAAUUAAAAAUCUUCUUACAAAAAAAAAAAGAAAGAAGAAAUGCAGAAGUAAAAAAAUAACCUUUUAAAACUUACCCACAUAUUUUCUUUUCCAGUGUUCUUCAUCCCUUCCUGAAGUCUGUUUCCAUCUGGCAUCAUUUAUCCUCAUCCUGAAGAACUUCCUUUGAGCACAGGCUCCGGAUGCGUAGGCUCAGCGGCCAUGGCUCACGGGCCCAGCCACUCUGCGGCAUGUGGGAUCUUCCCAGACCGGGGCACGAACCCGUGUCCCCUGCAUCGGCAGGCGGACUCUCAACCACUGCGCCACCAGGGAAGUCCUUUCAGGUAGUUUUUAAAAAAUAUUUUUUCCAGAACUUUUAGUUGUUAUCUGUGGAAGCAUUUAUCCAAUAGAAGCUACUCCUCCAUUACUAGAAACUAGAACUUUGCAACACUUUUAAUUGCUAAUAUAUAAUAUGAAUCUCCAAGACAGACAAUAUAAUGUGCAGUAUUUUACUAACUGAUUUUGACCAGAAAGGUCUUGUUUGUUUGUUUGUUUGUUUUAAUGGAACAGCUGCAGAAUGACUGCUUUGCUUUGGGAAAAGCUGAUCAGAGGACCGCCUUAUUCAAGGUGCCCUUACAACUUCUUGCCAAAUCCAGACCUUGCUUGUCAUCCACUUAGAUUUAAUGCUCACUUAAUUAAAUGCUGUAGAAAACAUACCUGCUUUAAACACCUUGCAAUUAAGACGAGUUUGACCUUCGUUAUAAGGUAAGAAUUGUAAGGUAAUAUUAAGUGAUUGUGUUCACCACUUAAAAUGUCUGAACAUCUAGGUUUGUGCCACUGGACAAGAGAAAAAUUCUGAAUAUGAGAUUGUAUUCUGGCAGCUUGACACUUAGAGAUGGGAAUACAGACAAAACAAAUAUGUACAGAGAUAGGUUCAUGAGGUGAUAUGCACCAUGUGAAGGCAAAGGCAUUUUUUACAUGGACUCUGAAAGGAAUCUACUACUGACCAAUUCAGUACUUUGUUCCAAGUGAGUAACCCAUUUGUAUUUUCCCAACUUUUUAUUUUUUAAUUUUAAACUGUAGAAUAAUUGAAAAAUAGUAUAAUAAACACAUAUAUCCUCUAUAAUGAUUUACAUUUUGCAUUUCCCACAUUUACUUUCUCUCUCUUUCUCUGUGUCUCUCCCAGUCUCCUUCCCCACCAUAGUUUUUAAGGUAAGUUGCAAACAUAAGACUUUACCCAGAGAUACUUCAGCUUGCAUCUCCUAAAAAUAAAUUAAUUGCAUAAUAUCAUCUAAUAUCCAUUUGAGAAAAGCAUAUAGAUCUUGUCCCAGGUGAUGUUUUUGGGAUAAGUUAAUUUCCCUCCUUAGUACAGAAAUCAUAUCUCUUUUCAGAAAAAAACAGAUUGUGAAGUAGAAGAGGGAAGCAGAGGUGAAAACGGGUGGAAAAGAUCUUGUGAAGCUAAUACUGGUUACUAGUGUGUGAAGUACACACAGUACGUUAGGUCCUAUUGUAUAGCAUAAUAGUCUCUGCAAUUCUAUUCUGGUUUACAAUACUACAUUGAUACGGCAAAUUAACUGCUUUAAGUAGUGGUUGCCUGCGAGGCUUAGGACCAAGUGCCUCCCUGAAAUAGCUUACAAGAUGGUCGGGAGCUGGCAACAGACCAAACAUUGCCCCACCUUCUGCGCCUUGCGAAACUCAGCAUCUCGUCUAAAACUCGAAUCAGGCAUCACCUAGGAAAACCCCUCUCUGGCUCCCUCUCCUCUCCUGUGCUCCUGGUCCCACUACCCCUUGGUCUGGGUGGAGCAUUUCUCCUCAGAGCAUUCAAAGAACCCUGCUCCUGCCACGAGCCCUUCUUAUCAGACUGUACCUGUUGCUCUUUGGCUCUCCCUUCCUGAUUUCUGUAAGUGUAGAGAGUUUGAAUUUGCACCCCCAGGCUUAUGGUAGGGCCAGAUAGAUAGAUAGAUGUUGAAUGUUUAUGAAGGGUUAAUCACCGAGAGAAGCAGGUAGCAAGAGAGAUGGCCGGUGGUGGGAAAGAGAAGCUGCGGCGGGGCCGCAGAAUUGCUGAGAGCUGCUUCCCUCUGUGCCUGGACAGUGGGAUUGUGGGGUUGGUCCUAGGCUGAAUUAAACUUCCCUUCCUGGCUCACUGGCCUUUUUUUUUUUUUUUUUGGCUGCGUUGGGUCUUCGUUGUUGGGUCUUCAUUGCUGCGUGCGGGCUUUCUCUAGUUGCAGUGAGCCAGGGCUUCUCUUCGUUGCGGUACAUGGGCUUCUCAUUGCGGUGGCUUCUCUUGUUUCGGAGCAUGAGCUCUAGGCAUGUGGGCUUUAGUAGUUGUGGCACACGGGCUCAGUAGUUGUGGCUCACGGGCUCUAGGGCUCAGGCUCAGUAGUUGUGGCUCACGGGCUUAGUUGCUCCUUGGCAUGUGGGAUCUUCCCGGACCAGGGAUCGAACCUGUGUCCCCUGCAUUGGCAGGCGGAUUCUUACCACUGCGCCACCAGAGAAGUCCUCAGUGACCUUUUUUCUUAGUGUCUUACCUCCCUAGUUUCUCUGUGCCCUAACCCUUCUGUUUUUCUCUCAUCAAAAGCCAUUCACACUAACACGUGGCAAGAUAGGAAGGAGGAAGGAAAGUAAAAGAGGGCUGAGGCAAGGGGAGUAGUGACAACUUUUAAGUGUGACUUUAUUCAUCCCAGGGAGAGCAAAAGUACAAACACAACUCAAGUGUGUGCAAGAGUGUGGAGUGGUGAUUAAGAUUCAGUUCCCACGAGACAGAAAAUCAUUCUUUCCUUACCUAGCCUUCCACUCCCAUUUUCUGUCUCUGUCUGUCUGUCUGUCUGUCUCUGUCUCUCUCUCUCAUACACACACACACAAACACACACACACACACACGUCUCCCUAACCUGCAGUUUGUCAGUUUAAAUCAGCAUGCAAAACUGCAUACAUGUGGGCUUCCCUGGUGGCGCAAUGGUUAAGAAUGUGCCCGCCAAUGCAGGGGACACGGAUUCAAGCCCUGGUCCAGGGAGGAUCCCACAUGCUGCGGAGCAACUAAGCCCAUGCACCACAACUACUGAGCCUGUGCUCUAGAGCCCGCGAGCCACAACUACUAAAGCCCGCACGCCUAGAGCCUGUGCUCUCCAACAAGAGAAGCCACCGCAAUGAGAAGCCCGCGCACCACAACGAAGAGUAGCCCCGCUCACCGCAACUAGAGAAAGCCCGUGCGCAGCAAUGAAGACCCAACACAGCCAAAAAUAAAAAACAAACAAAAACAACAACAACAAAAAAACCCUGCAUACAUGUUUCUUUGCUUCAUUAAAAAGACUUUAAAAAUUCUAUUUCCACCCUCCAUAAUUAUAUUAAAUGUAUAAAGUUGUUCUCCCCACUCCCUGUUCAUUUCUUGGGUUCAUGAUCUUCCCAAGUACAAAUACUUGAUUGAUUUCAAGAAGGGAGCCCACAAGAUCUGUAGGUUGUGAAAAUCUCUGGUCCUCCUUCAAGGAGGACGAGAAGAGGAGCCCAGAGCAUCGGUGGUUGAGAGCCGUUUUCCUCUGGCCAUCUGCUGGAUCCUUGCUCCCAGAGGCAACCCAGUGCAUGGCCGCUGCGUUCUCGUAUUUCCAGAGCACUGGAUUGGAAGCAGGUGCAAAUGGAGACCGAGAAUCAUUCUUGUCAUGACUAUCUGUAUGGCAGAUCUUCUUUAAAGAUUUCUUGUCUUUGGAAACAGUGUCCAAUAGAAUGGACAAAUACAAUGUUAUGCUAUAAAAACAUUAUGUCAAAAAUUGUGUUGUAGGUGAAUACUUAACAAUAUGGAAAAAUAUUGUUAAGUAAAAUAAUAUAUGAAACAAUUUGUAAAUGUGAAUGUGCAUAUAUAUGUGUGUGUGUAUAUAUAUGCAUAUAUACAUAACUGAAAGCAUAAUAUACCGAAUAGUUAAUUAGUUAAUAAUGGUUCUCUUUGGGUCAGAGUAGGAUAAUGGGCAUUUAAAAUUUACCUCUUUUUGUUCUAUGUGUAUUUCCUAUAAUUAACAUGCAUUACUUUUGUACUAAGAUAAACAUUUACAAGUACUUAAAAUUAUGUUUUAUUAGAAAUCCAUCUGCCUGGUUGACAUCAUCCAAAUCUUGGUUUAGUCUAAUUUAACAAGAAAUCAAAGACAAUAUUUUUAAAAUCAAAAUAAAUGCUUUGUUAACAUCAGGAAAGAGGCACCAAAGCAUCUGCUAAAAACCCAACUUGGUCAGACACCAGAAUGGCCCAAGGAUCCUCGUGCUUUGCAGCACUGUUGAUCUCCCAGAUCCCCAGAGGCAUAAAUGUUGAAAGUUUCCGAAGGUAAUGCAAAUUACUGGAAUCUGGGCAGUGUAGAAGCGUGAGAACUGGACAAAACAGGAAGAUCUGGAUUCUGGUAAGAACGCUAUCAUCGUCCAGGAGUGUAGCCUAGAAAAAGUUCCUUGAUCUCUAUCCUCUCCAAAAACAGACCCUUCUUAUUGACUCAGUAAUUAUUUAUUGGGGCUUCCCUGGUGGCGCGUGGUUAAGAAUCCGCCUGCCAAUGCGGGAGACACGGGUUUGAGCCCUGGUCCAGGAAGAUCCACAUGCCACAGAGCAACUCAGCCCGUGCGCCACAACUACUGAACCUGCGCUCUAGAGCCUGUGGGCUACAACUACUGAGUCUGCAUGCCACAACUACUGAAGCCCACGUGCCACAGCUACUGAAGCCCGCACACCUAGAGCCUGUGCUCUGCAACAAGAGAAGCCACCACAAUGAGAAGCCCGCGCACCCCAAAAAAGAGUAGACCCUGCUCGCCGCAACUAGAGAAAGCCCACGCACAGCAAAGAAGACCCAACACAGCCAGAAAUAAAUAAAUAAAGUUAUUUUAAAAAAUUAUUUACUGAGGCUCUCCUGUGUGCGCAGGCACUGACCUAGGCUCAUGCUGGAAUGCUGUGAGUCUAUGUUAUUUUACAGACUUGCACUCAAUUUAAUUUACACCACCAUUUCCAUUUUUCUGCAAUAGAAUUAUCUAGAAUUCUCAAGGUUUAAGGGUGGAGUAAAACUUUGUAAUCUAGAUAUGGAGGACUCUAGAAAGGAGAGGAAGUGGGUGUCUCCUUGUAACAAAAAGGCAAGACCGUGGUAAGGGAUAAAUGGAGGAAAGAGUUGGAGAUGGACCCAAACCAAACCCACGUGGCUCAGAACAGCCUGGGGGAAGGGAGCAAAAGGGAGAAACCCUGAGCCAAAGCAACGGGGAAACUUGCAGAUCAUGGUGGUAAAUUCCUAAGCAUGAUUGUCUAAAUGCCUUGUUUUCCUUGAAGUACAAUACAUUAUUCUUUUCAGGCAACCACAGUCUGAACCAAACAAUGUUGAUUGUGUUUGCAAUUACUGCAGGAGAGGGAGAGAUUAAGCUAAACAUCUUUGUCCUUGGAGAUUAAAGACUGUACCUAAUGGGUAAGAUCAUAGAUUUUGACCAAUAUAGGGAACAUGUGCCCAAAUCAGUAGGAACUGGUGUUUUGUUUCAGAAAAACUACACAGACUAACCAUAAUCAUAAAGGACAUAAUAGGUCAGGGAAAGUUGUUUUUAUACUUCUCAGAAGAUACUUAGUUACAUUGCUAGACACAGCACUUUAUAUUGGUUGUAAUAUAUCUUCAUUUGAUUGUUUUUCCUCAUUGCACAAUAAGGUGCUUGCCAAGAAAAUUCAAAGGCCUGUCAGUUAUUAACAACUGAGAAACAAACUAGUUGGAAUACGCUCACAUAAGGACAUGCACUCAUGUUCAAACGCAAACACACACAGACAUGAAUAAAGGCCAUCUGAGAAAAAGAAAUACGAGGCAUUCAGCAAGGAAAACUGACCACUAAUCAGACUUUCACUUUGAGACCAAAAAUAACUUUGGGCAAAAGUUGGUGAGCAUAUUCCCUCUUUAUGAGAAUCCAAACAGCCCAAUGUAAUGUUAUGUUAAAGGGCUCCCCUGUGCUCAGUUAUCUUAGCUGAAUAUGGAGCCAGUGUACUGUACGUCAAACUAGACGGUGGUUGGUAGAAAUGUAGAACCUAGUUAGGUGCUCUGACGUCAGGACUGAAGAUGUUUCUGGCCAUUAGGACAGUUUGAUUCAUUAAAAGAACACUAACAGCAAAAUAAAUUCCUGUUUCAUUACACACAAGAAAUAAUCAAGUUCCUUGAUUAAUAACCCAUAUGGCUGAUGGGUUCUGGUCCUUAUGUUAAGAAACUAGAAAAAGCUCAACUGAGAUCAUCUUAAUGUUCACUCAAUUAAUAAUUGAGAUCAUAUGAAUCCAGAAAUGUGCCAUUUGAUGACUUUGCAGAUGUUACAUGCACGGACUGGUGCUCUGUGUAUUUUCUAACAUUAUUGGAGUAUUUUAUGUGUGCAAAGGCCUUCUAGAAAGCUUCUGGACCUUGCCUCCCUCUCCUUCAGACAUCUACAGCUCUGCUUUCCUAAGUAAAAUGUUGUAGCAUUAUAAUGCUUUACCAAUUGUACAUUACAUAUUAUGUAAUUAAAUACGGAAAGUACACUCUAUGGUUCCAAGCUUUAUCACUUACUAAUUGUAAGACCUUCAGCAAGUCAGUCUCUCUGAAUUAUAGCUUCUACAUCUGUAAAAUGGAGCUAAGAAUACGUUUUUAUUGGUGGUUUUAAAACAAGUCCUCAAAUUCUUUGACACUGUUCCCAUGAAAAGGUGGAGUCCAAUUCCCCUCCCCUUAUACAUGGGCCAGACUCAGUGACUCACGCCUAAAGAAUGGAAUGUGGCAGAAAUAAUACUAUGUGACUUCUGAGGAGACAAACUUCCCUCCGGCUCUCUCUCUUGGAAUGCUUGCUCUUGGAGCCUAAUCCCUUCACCAUUUAGUGACAAAGCCAAGCUGUUGCAGGGAAAGUUCACGUGUAGGUCACAUGUAGGUCAAGUGUAGGUAUUCCAAAAACAGUUAGAGAUGAGCUCCCAGCGGACAGCCAAACAUUAGCCACCAGACAUGUGAAUGAGUGAGUGAGUUUUCAGGUUAUUCUAGCCCCCGGUCCUGUAGCCAGCCCAGCUGACACUGAGUACAGCAGAGAGAAACUGUCUUCUCUAAGUUCUUCCAAAAUUGUAGGUUAAUGAGCAAAUAAAUGUCAUUACUGUUUUAAGCCAUGAAGGUUUGGGGUGGUUUGUUAUGUAGCAACAGAUAACUGGAACAGAUUUUGGUGUCACGAUGAGAAUUGAAAACAUACAGCAACGACUUCAGGACUGGACAGCAGGCAGAAUUUGGGAGGGUCUUCAAGAGACUGUUAAAGAAAACCUCAUGGUUCUUGAAGAUGUUAUUGGUUAGGGGUGACCGGAAAGUGAGGAAAUGUUAUUGGGAGCUGUCAUAUAGUGGUAGAAAGUUAGCAACAGUGUCAUAUAUGGUAACAUGGAAGAUAAAAAAUAUACCAAUACUCUGGUUCCUCUUCAGAACGCAUAAGUCUUUCGCCUUUUACUAAAAAUAUACCAAAUUACGCAAAUGACCUAUCUAAGGAGAUUUUCAGGAAGAGCCUUGCAUGUGCUGCCUGGUUAUUCUUACUGACUACAGUAGAACGCAAGAAGAGAGAGAAACUAAAGAAAGAACUGUUAAAUAUAUAGCAGGCAGGAAUUGCUAGGUUUGAAGUAACCGUUUCUCCUUCCUCACCUCUUCAUAUGGCAAAAUAAAUGGCUUCCAAGUGAAGAUCAAAUCCAGAGUCCUGUCAUGAAACACGGCCCCAAGGUGAAGUCAGGGGUGUGACUAUAAAACUCUUUGUUAAGACCUCAGGAAGUUUUAAGGUGUUGCUUCCUUGACCCUUUCAAGCAUACAAAAGACCUGCAAAGCAUCAGGAUGUUCUCAGACAGCAGCUUUGGAGACACUGAGGUAGAGAAGGGCUAAAUGAGAUUGGUGGGUGUGGCUUUUGCCAAAUAGAGUUGGUUAUAAAUUGAUUCAUGAGAAGCCUACAAAAAAAAAAUUUUUUUUAAGAAUUAUAAUCAGCUUAGACCAAGAGGGACAUUCAGGCCUUUGAAUUCCCAAAGGGCACGAAGCAGUCUAAGAGAACUACUUGGCUGCAAAGAUGGACUACUUUUAGUGGAAAAGGAAAAAUGACUCAAAGGGUGGAAUCGAGUCCAGCUAUGGUGAACAACUUCCAGGAAGGAAGACCGGGUCCUCAUCAAGGAACUGGCAACACACACUCAGAUGGAUUUCAGAACAGCUGUGAACCAGGGACUGCCGUGUGCUUCCCAUUUUUCUCCUUUUUGAACAAAAGUGUCUAUAGCUUGACAUGCCAUCGUGUAUUGGGUGUGGUGGACAGACGGCUUGUCUCUUGAUUCACAGGUCUUCAGAUUGGGAGAAGCUGCACACAGGGGACGGGACCCAAGGAGCCUCAGCCACCCCUAGCCCUGAUUUACGUGUCCAGAUCAUGGACCUCAAGCCUGAUGCUACCGUAGGUACAAUGUUUUAGGGAUCUAGAGAGAGGUGAGUAAGUAUAUCUUACAUGUAGGGGGAAAUGUAAAUAAUUCAUGUUCAAUGGGCAGAUUGUGAGGUCUUAAAACAUGUCCACAAAUUCUUUGAUAUUCUUGCCAACAAAAGAUGCAGCCUAAUUCCCCUUCCCUUGGAAGUGGCUGGCCUCAGUGACUUGCUUCUAACAAAUAGAACAUGGCAGAAGCAAUCCUGUAUGACUUCUCAGAUGAUCACAAAAGAAGAGGCAGCUUUUGCCUUGUUUCUUUUCUCUUGGCAUGUUUGCCUUUGGAAUCCAGCCACCACUGUGGUAGGCGGCCAAGCAGUCACAUGGAAGGGCCCUGUGGAGGUGUUCUGGCCACAGCCCAGCUGCUGUCCUGGCUCCCAGCCAGCAUCACCUGGCAACCUGUGAGUAAGCGAGUUUGCAGAUGGUCCCAGCCACCAGUCUCAAGCCACCCCAGAUAUGCCCUGGGAAGCAAAGACAAAUUGUCCCUGCCAAGCCCUGCCCAAAUUACAAAUUCAUGAGAAAAAUAAAUGCAGUCAUUGUUUUAAGGCAUUAAGUUUUGGGGUGGUUUGUCACGUGGCAAGAGAUAAUGGGAUGUUGAUGUGUAAAUGGUUACUAGAAAUAUCCACAUAUGUAAAUACAACCUUGUAACAGUUACAAGAUUUUAGGCAUUAUAAACUGCAAUUUCUUUAUGGUCCUCAGCUUUAUCACCUACUAAUUGUGAGACUUUUAGUAAGUCAGUCUCCUGAGCAUCAGUUUGUGCAACUGUAAAAUGGAGAUGAAAAUACUUGUCUUAAAAAAAUCAUUUAUGAAGAUUAUAUAGCAACAAAGUAAAUGAUCUGUUAUUAUAGGUUAUAAAACUAGAUUCAAAUGAUUGCAACUGUAAAAAUGUGCAGAUGAGAAAUAGAUGGAUUCGGUUAGUAGGCUUAAAAGUCAUUUUUCCUUCCAUUUUCCAAAUUUCCAUAAGAUUAUUUACUUCAGUAAUAAUAAUUUUAAAAAAAAGUAUUUUCAAAAAUCCCACUGUGCACUCCCAGCCCAAACCAGGGAGUCAGUCAGUGGUUAUUUCUUCUCAACCUCCCUGACAGUUAAAUCAGGUAAAUGGUUAGGAAGAGGAACGGACAAAAUGGCUUCUCGUCUCUUAGAGUUUGGGGGUCAAUAGAGGAUUGACUCCAGAACCCAGAUUUCUUACCUCCCCAGUUAGCGUGCCAUUUCUUCCACCUGUAACCUCAGUACUACUUUAAUCUAUGUGGGCUAAGCAUUAGAACCAAUGCCACAUGAGAUGCCCUGUAUUUAACCGGCAGUCCCAGCCAUCUGAGCUUAGAGGCAUGUAAUCCAAUGAUCAGGGGAGCCUGUCAAAAUGAAUAUGGUGGGGGCUUCCCUGGUGGUGCAGUGGUUAAGAAUCCACCUGCCAAUCCACCUACUUAAUAAAUGGAUGAAAAUCACUUCGUUAAUAUUCAGUGUUCUCAUGUCGUUUAUAAAUAAUUCCAACAGUAACCUUUUUCACUGGGAAAACACCUGUACAGUGUCGACUCUGAUUACUCCCUGUGGAUAUUGUUUAGCUAAAAAUUAAUAUAUCAUACUUUCUAGAAUGACAGACUGUGGGCUGGAAUAAGAGAAAACAGUAAUUUAUAAGAUGGAGUAAUUAUUGGAGGAUCCAGUUGGGGCGGGCUUUUCGAUGAAUCAGCGAAGAUGAGCUUCUUGGAAGUGCUGACACCGGUGACCUACCUCCACAUUCUACAAGUGCCUCCAGAGCAGCUGGAUCUCUUAGCCAAUACUGUCAGGGCAGCUCAAAAUUAGCCAUUCAACACAUCAGUGGUUCUCAAGGUUUAAUGUGCCUACGAAUCACCUGGCAAAUGCAGAGCCUGUCAGUAUGCAGAUCUGGAGUGGAGGCCGAGAUUCUGAUUGUCAAACAGGCUCCCAGGUGACGCUGCGGCUGGUCAGUGGACCACGCUUGAAGAGCAAAGACAAAGGUUACAUUUCCCACUACUGAGGACACUUGUGUCUCCUCUUUCCCAGUUACCUAAAACAGGAUGACUUCACAAAUAAAGGGUAGGGUUGAAGUGAGUAUCUGCUUUCAGUACUGUAAUGUGUUGAUUCAAGCCAGUUCUUGGACCUUGCUUUUGAAAGAAAAAAUUUUUUGUUCGUGGUUUUUAGUGCUCUGAUUUCCAGGUGACUAUUAGCAGCUUUUCUUUCAAUGUUAGUCAUUAUAUGAAAGAGAAAAUUCAAGGUUUGAUAGCUGGGACUGAUGACAUACAAUGGAUCCCAAGAGUGGCUAAGGCAGCAUACCCUUUUGUCCACUCGUUAUAGGAAUCUUUCCACCUUCAUGGGUGGCUUAUCUUGGAAACAUGAAGUGUAAAGAACGUGCUUCAUGGUUGAUGGGAUUUUCCAGGAACCAUGACUUUUCUUUUUAACCAGAAAAAACUAAGCAAAUGCUUCACAGUUUUUGUUUUAACAAGGUGAGCUAACCUACCAUCUACUUUUUUUUCUUUUAAUUUAUUAUUUAUUUAUUUAUGGCUGCGUUGGGUCUUCGUUGCUGCGCUCGGGCUUUCUCUGGUUGUGGCGAGCAGGGGCUACUCUUCGCUGCGGUGUAGAGGCUUCUCAUUGUGGUGGCUUCUCUUGUGGAGCAUGGGUUCUAGGUGCGUGGGCUUCAGUAGUUGUGGUGCGUGGGCUCAGUAGUUGUGGCUCGCAGGCUCUAGAGCGCAGGCUCAGUAGUUGUAGUGCACAGGCUUAGUUGCUCCGUGGCACGUGGGAUCUUCCCAGACCAGGGAUUGCACCCAUGUUCCCUGUAUUGGCAGGUGGAUUCUUAACCACUGGGCCACCAGGGAAGUCCUCAACAUCUACUUUGAACAUUGACAACACUUAGCAUUUAAACAACUUUUAUUACAAAAGAACAAUGCAUGUUCAUUGUAGGAAAUUUGGACAAGUUAAAAAGUAGAAAAAAAAAUUACCCCUAAAUCCCAUCACUCAGAGAUAACCGUUGAUAAUAAUCUAUGGAUAUUACAAACAUGCUCAAGUACCUCAGCAAGUUAGGAAAACCCUCAUUUCCUCUCUGGUUCAUACAACCCCUCCAGAUACAAAUCCUGUCCAUUUUUUCUGCUCCUUAUCCUAGGAGGUAGGGACAGUAAAUCCGAGACACUUAAGAACUAUUUCUUCUUCACAUCCUUCGUCAAUCAUAUUAAAUGUUUUAUUUGCGGAAAAUGAUUAUUAGGUCAUCUAAAAUUUUAUGAUACAUAUUUUCAUAGUGAAAAAUUUCCACUUGUUCUUACAAGUGGAAAUUCAAUUGUUUAAUGAUUUUAGCUUUUUUCCAACAUCAGUUUAGCAACCCUUCUUUGAGUCAGCUGCCCAUACUAUGACAAGCUAAUUAACUACAUUAACCCCUGCGUGUCAGCUCACAUACUGUAUUCAGUCACUUAAAAUAUCAUAGGGUGCUGCAGAAUAAUUGCUAGAACUACGAUUUGAUCAGUAUUUCAGAGUUUACAAUAAGUCCAUAUACAGACAUUUCACAUGUACUUUAUUGUGUUGUCACCAUAGCACCUCUAUGAAACAUUAGUUUUAUUUCUGUUUUAUAAGUGACAAAACUGAGGCUCAAAGAUGAUAAGUGAUCUGCUAAAAAAUCUCAUGUUCAGGGAGUGGCAGAAUAAAGAAAAUGUUACCUUUUUUGACUUUCUGCUACUGACCAACUCUUGUCCUUAAUGUCCUUAUUAAAACGUUACAGAAUAAAAAAGGCUUCAUGUAAAAAUAUAAGACAAAUAUGCAGAUGUUCUUGCUUCCUGCUGUGCUGUAAUAAAUUCCUUUAUCUCUGAAAAUAAAAUUAAAAUGUAAGAUAUGUAUGGGAACUCUAUCUUUUCAGUUUUUCUGUAAAUCUAAAACUGUUCUAAAAAAGUUUAUUUAAAUGUAAAAAAAGAUAAUCUUGUAAAAUAACAUACAUCAUAUCAGAAUAUCUUUUAUAUAACUAGUUCUUUCCUAAUCUCCAUUUCUGCCUUCACUGCUUUGCAAUCCUGUGCUGUCCUGUAACCACAGACCUCUGGCCCUCUUGACAGUGAGGACUAGACUGCUGAGAUUUUCCAGCCGAGAGACCACAUUCCGCAUAAUCCAGAGGCUGUCAGUAUAAUGAAGUGUCUUUUCCAGUGUGGCCAAAGACACAUUUCCCUUCUAGGUUUCUAAUUCUUUCAGUCUCAGAAAUGUGCUGGCAUCCACACAUUAAAUUUCACUCCUUUGGAAGGUGAGCAUUACUAGGGAUGAUUGCCUUAGAACACUGGGUGUACUUCAGAUCCCAAUUCACCAAGCAGGUGCCUCUCGCCUUCCAAGAGCCCACGUCAUUGCCGCAGGCUUCUCUGGAACUUCGCAACAAUUACCAGCCAGCAACUCUUCUGUUAGAAGUGGGGCCCUAGCACAAGAUGAGGUCACUUUACCUGCCUGAUGGCGUUACACUUAUAGUCGCCAUUCUUUUAGCAGUUAAACAAAAUCUAAGUGCUUAGCAACCCCUUUUUGUUCAAGAGGACUCCAUCUUUUUCCUUUCCAUCUUUUGUCUUCCAAGGGUGGAUCUGCCAGACAGAUGCUUCGGGCAUUUGGAAAAUUGAAUUUGGAGGAAAGACUGAGGCCGAGAAGCACUCAGGCUAAUGGUGGUAGAGAAAUUUCUCAGGGAGAAGCCCUGAUUCUGGACACAUGGCCUUCCAGAAUUUCUAGCUUCCUUCACAGCUAGGUGUGGCCAUAUGACUAAGUUCUGGCCAAUGGGAUGUGAGCCAAAGUAAUGUAUUGCAACUUCUGGGUUAAGCCUCUAAGAGGAAGGGGUGUGUCUUCCCUUCUUUCCCUCUUUCUGCUAGCAGGAAUAUGGGUGGGGGAACGAGCCAUCUUGGUGGCAGAGAUGAGGGCAACAUCCGAAAGAUGAUAGAGAAACAAGAGGGAAAAACCUGGGCCCUUGAUUACUUUGCAAAGGAAAGCCACUAACUUCCACAUGAGAGAGAAAUAAGCUUCUAACUUGUUAAAGCCAUUGGAUACCAUUUCUUACCUGCUUGAAUAGAUUUUCUCCCAAUGUCAAAGUCAGUGUCAGCCUGUGGAGUACACCUUUCAGGCUCUGGGCCCUCCCAGCGCCCCCUGCCCCACUGUAAUGAACUAGGGCAGGUUUAGGGUGCUGCAAGGUACGAUUUGUUCUGUACUUUCUUUCUCUACUCUCCCUCUCUCUCUCCUGUGGUUCUUAGAUAAGUUCUCUUUGAAAAGCAUUACACAAUGUUCUUUCAUUCUGUUCUCUGCUCUAAGCUUUCAAUCAAUCAAUCUUUCUCACUCUCUCUAAGGCUGUGUUAUUAAGCUGACCACCUUUGUGCUGCUGGCAUCUAGUAAGGCUGCAAUUCCGUUGUUCUACAGCUCAUUCCCAGCUGACUUGUUGCAUGGUAGAAUGGGGAAGUUUAUCGCCUUCAGAAAACCCUGCCACCACUUACACAGUAAAAGGACAGGCUCUCUCACAUAAAACCACUGCGAAGAUUACUUUUCUAAGAAAAACAAACACAUUCUCACUGCCAUAUCUCAUGACACAGCCAUUCUUGGAAGAACUAACUGGAUCUCAACUGGAUCCAAAGAGUGAAAUCAGCCCCACCCCAUCCCUGAGGGAAAGCUAGCAGGUGUGAUGGGUGGAGAGCCAUUCACUCAAGCCAGAGAAAACUGUAUGUUGAAACAAAACAAUUGGUAGUCCAGGCAAGCUGUUGGCACCAGCAAGAUGCUGCAACAAUUACAGUGGCCUAAACGUAAGGUAGAUAGCUAGUGGGAAGCAGCCGCAUAGCACAGGGAGAUCAGCUCGGUGCUUUGUGACUGCCUGGAGGGGUGGGAUAGGGAGGGUGGGAGGGAGGGAGACGCAAGAGGGAAGAGAUAUGGGAACAUAUGUAUAUAUAUAACUGAUUCAUUUUGUUGUGAAGCUGAAACUAACAUACCAUUGUAAAGCAAUUAUACUCCAAUAAAGAUGUUUAAAAAAAAAAAGAAAAAAAAAACAAUUACAGUGGCCUCUUUACAGGAAGGCAGAACAUGGCAUUGGGAAAUCCAGGAGCAAGCUGUAUUUGGAGAACUCAGCUUGUGGUAUUUGGGCAGUCUGUCAGCAGAUGGCAGGACUUCAGGCAACAGGCAGAAGUUUAAGGACAAGACUUCAGGCCCUAGAAUAGUGAUUCUCAACUGGAGGCGAUUUUGUCUCUCCAAGGGAUAUGUGGCAAUGUCUGGAGACAUUUUUAAUCGUUAUAAUUGGGAGAUGCUAAUGGCAUCUAAUGAGCAGAAGCCAGGGAUGCUGCUAAACAUUCUACAAUGCAUAGAGCAGCCCCUACACACAGACACACACAAUAGAAAAUCAUCCAGCAUAAAUGUACAUCCAGCAUAAAUAGUACCAAUGUGGAGAAACCCUGCCCUAGACACUAACGUUUACAGGGCAUGACCCCUAUCUCAGGAAUGUCAGGGGUUCUGAGCUGUCUGCCAAGGCACGGGCUCUAGAAGGAAAGUAAGACCUGGCCCUGAUUACCAAAGCUAGGCUGCAGGUCAGAGGAGCAGGACUGAAUCCCACUUAUCAGAUGGGGGCACAAUGUCACAACCAGAACUAGGAGUGAAUUCAAUUAAUCCCAAAUCCACAGGGUAUCCCACUAGAACAGUUUAAAUUCCUCUAGGAAUCCAGGAAGAUUGUUCUAUAGCAGGAUUCUCAACCUGGUUCUAUAAAUCUUUUGGAGGCAGAGGAAGAUCUAAGCACAGAGAUAAGGGGAUCUUGACCUUUCUCAAAUUAUAUGCAAAAUUAUAUAUUUUUGCAUUUUCCUGGGGUAAGGAUCCAAAGCUUCUCUCAGGUUCUAAAAGUGGGUAUAAGACGCAAAAAAGGUCAAAACUACUUCUGAAAGCCUAAGGUAUCAGGAUGAACCUGGCAGGAGGGGAACAUGUAGUCUUAAGUAAAGGAAGAAUAAUUAAACACUUACUGUUUACCAGGUACUGUUCUGUUGCCUAACUUGGAUUAACUCAUUUGAUCCUCAUAACAAUCUUAUAAAGCAGACACUUUUUCAAUCCCAUUUUAUAGAUGAAGAAACCAAGGCUAAACUUUCUCUGAGGCAAUGCUUACCAACCUUUUCCCCAUCGUGGCAUACACGCAAAAGCUAUUGUAUAGAAAAAUUGUGGGUAUUCAUAAGAAAGUUUAGUAAGGUUGCCAUAAAUAAGAUCAGUCGACAAAAUAAAAUUGCACAUCUAUAUUUUAGCAACAAAUAAUUAGAAAACACAAUUAAAAGAAAGAUGCUAAUUGUAAUGGCAACAAAUUAUAAGGCACCUUGGAAUAAAUCCAACAAAACAUGUGCAAGGUCUUUAUGGAGAAAUCAGAAAGCUUCAGUGAUAUACAUCAAAGGUACAGUGGGGCAAAGGGAUGAGGAUGCUCAUGACCAGAGGCAAUUGGUCCAGGGGCUCCUGCAGCCCAUGUCCACUUCUCACCUAUCUGCCUUGGCCUCGUCAGGGCUGAGGGUUUAAAAACCCUGAAGCCCAUUCAGAACACACCAGUUUGCUUACACGGCACACCAGAUAGAAAACUCUGCUACUACCAUUAAAGAAAUUUAAUUAGUAGUAACAAAUUUUGCAACAAAGAAAACGCUAAGCCUAGCUAUUUCUAAAGGCAAGAACAGCCAAAUAUUCGAGAUGGUUCCAAUCAUACAUGAAAUCUUGCAGAACAGAAAAAAAAAAGGGAAUAGCGUCCAGCUCAUUAACUGAGGCUAGCACAACUUUGACACUAAAACCAGACAAGAACUGGGAAAAGAGGUUUUCAGGCCACUGUAAGAUCAAUAGACAAAAUAUAAUUGCAAAUCUACCCUUUAGCAAUAAAUAUAUAGAAGACACAGUUAAAAGAAAGAUGCUAAUUAUAAUGGCAACAAAAUAUAUAAGUCAACUUGGAAUAGAUCUGACAAGAGAUGUACAAGUCCUUUAUGGAAAAAAAAUCAUAAAAUAUCAGUAAAGGACAUUAAAGAGGAUGUAAACAAUAUUUUGCUAAAAUGACCUAUAGAUUGAAUGACAUUCUAUUCAUGGAACUUGACAAGCUGCUUCUAAGAUACAGGAGAGCAAAGAGUCAAGAAUAGCCAAAACAAUCCUGGAGAAGAACCAGGAGAAGCAAUGGUCUUACUACCAGAUACUAAGACUUGUUAUUAAGUCAUUAAAAACUAAGAACAUGUUAUCAAUUCUGAGAUAGAUCAAUGGACCAAAACAGAGUCCAGAAUAAUACCCAUGAACAGAUGAAUAUAAGGAAAACUUAUCUAUGGCAUUGCAGAUUAGGAGGAGGGAUACAGACUAUUCAAUAAGUGUUAAUUGAUUAACCAUGUGAGGGGAAAAGGUAAGUGAACUCCUAUCUCACAACUGUACACAGAAAUCAAUUCUUGAUAGAUAAAGGCCUUAAAGACAGGAUUUUAAAACUUCAGAAGAAUACGUAGAACAGUAUCUUUCUCACUUUGAGGUAACAAAGGAUUUCUUAACAUAAAACCGGAAGCACAGGUUCAACUACAUUAUAAUAAAACUGCUGUUCCUCAAAGAAUAUCAAGUUAUCAAGAGAGUGAAAACAGACGCCAAAAACUGGAGGAAGAUACUCAUUACACAUAGAGUGGACUCAGGGUUAAUAACCAGACACAUGGGCUCCUUUGAAUCAAUAAGAAAAAGAUAAAAAUCGAAUAUAGAAAUUGCCAAAUAUGAAUAGCCUUGCACAGAAGAACACAUCUGGGUGAUAAAUAAACAUACGAAACUAUGUUCAACCUCAUUAGUUACUAGAGAAAUACAAGUUCUUGUUUCAUACCCACCAGGUUGACAAAAAUUAAAAAGUCUGACAAUAGCAAGUGUUGGUGAGAAUUUGUAAUAAUGGCAACCAUCACGCAGCAUUAAAUAGUAAUCUGGAACUGUCCAGUAAAGCUGAACGUGUGCAUUAACCCUAUCACCCAGGGAUUUCUCUUCUGGUGUAGUAAGCAGGCUUCUAAGACGGCUCCCAAUAAUCUCCACCUCCCGGUUUUCAUGCCCACGUGCAAUUCCCUCCCCUGAAGGGUGACCUACACCUAGUAACUUGCUUCUAAUAGAAUACAUCAAAAGUGGUGGGAUGCCACCCUGAAAUUAGGUUUCAAAAAGCUGACUUCUGCCUAGCUCUCGUUCUCUAGCCCUUCCCGCUUUCUCGCGAGAAGCAAGUUGUUGGAGCAAGCUGAACCAACACAGAGACCCACAGGGCAAAGAACUGAGGGCUGCAGCCAGCAACCGGACAGGAGCCAAGCAACCUUCAGCCCAACAGCCCCGGGGGAACCGAUUCCCUCCAACAACCAAGUGAGUGCGUUUGGAAACGGAUUCUUCCCCACAAGAUAACUGCGGCCCCUGCCCACGUCUUGAUAGCAGCCUUGUCAGAACCCGGAGCCGGAGGACCCAGCUAAGCCACGUCUGGAUUCCUGACCCAUAGCAACUGUGAGAUAAUACAUACAGCAGGCAACUUUGCAUGCUCACUGGAAGAGAGUGUGUGAAGGCAAGAAAAAAGAAAUCAUUCUUCACCUCUGAGUUCCAAUUUAGAUUCUUAAAACUAAGAAGAGAAAUGAAACUAAUCUUGGCUUCCCUGGUGGCGCAGCGGUUAAGAAUCCACCUGCCAAUGCAGGCGACACGGGUUCGAGCCCUGGUUUGGGAAGAUCCCACGUGCCGCGGAGCAACUAAGCCCGUGCGCCGCAACUACUGAGCCUGCACUCUAGAGCCCACAAGCCACAACUACUGAGCCCACGUGCCACAACUACUGAGCCUGCACUCUAGAGCCCAUGAGCCACAAACACUGAAGCCCUCAUGCAACAACUACUGAAGUCCGGUGCCUAGAGCCCGUGCUCUGCAAUGAGAGAAGCCACCACAAUCAGAAGCCCGCACACUGCAACGAAGAGUAGCCCCCGCUCACCGCAACUAGAGAAAGCCCGCGCACAGCAACAAAGACCCAAUGCAGCCAAAAAUAAAUAAAUAAAUUUAUUUUAAAAAAAAUGUUGUGCGAAGUCCACCUUCUUUAUACACC